rnacentral:rRNA from 1 species
GCGACGGGUGAGUAACACGUGGGCAAUCUGCCCUGCACUCUGGGAAAGACAAAAGAAACGGGGUCUAAUACCGGAUACGAGCCUCCUGGGCACUGGGAGGUUGGAAAGCUCCGGCGGUGCAGGAUGAGCCCGCGGCCUAUCAGCUUGUUGGUGAGGUAACGGCUCACCAAGGCGACGACGGGUAGCCGGCCUGAGAGGGCGACCGGCCACACUGGGACUGAGACACGGCCCAGACUCCUACGGGAGGCAGCAGUGGGGAAUAUUGCACAAUGGGCGCAAGCCUGAUGCAGCGACGCCGCGUGAGGGAUGACGGCCUUCGGGUUGUAAACCUCUUUCAGCAGGGAAGAAGCGAGAGUGACGGUACCUGCAGAAGAAGCGCCGGCUAACUACGUGCCAGCAGCCGCGGUAAUACGUAGGGCGCAAGCGUUGUCCGGAAUUAUUGGGCGUAAAGAGCUCGUAGGCGGCUUGUCGCGUCGAUUGUGAAAGCCCGGGGCUUAACUCCGGGUCUGCAGUCGAUACGGGCAGGCUAGAGUGUGGUAGGGGAGAUCGGAAUUCCUGGUGUAGCGGUGAAAUGCGCAUAUAUCAGGAGGAACACCGGUGGCGAAGGCGGAUCUCUGGGCCAUUACUGACGCUGAGGAGCGAAAGCGUGGGGGAGCGAACAGGAUUAGAUACCCUGGUAGUCCACGCCGUAAACGGUGGGGCACUAGGUGUUGGCGACAAUUCCACGGUCGUCGGUGCCGCAGCUAACGCAUUAAGUGCCCCCGCCCUGGGGAGUACGGGCCGCAAGGCUUAAACUUCACAGGGAAUUGGACGGGGGGCCCGCACAAGCGGGCCGGAGCCAUGGUGGGCUUUAAUU